rnacentral:rRNA from 1 species
UACGAACCGUGCGAACGUUGUUCGGAAUCACUGGGCUUAAAGGGCGCGUAGGCGGGUCGGAAAGUCCGCGGUGAAAUCCCCCCGCUCAACGGGGGAACGGCCGCGGAUACUGCCGGCCUCGAGGGGGGUAGGGGCGAGCGGAACGCUGGGUGGAGCGGUGAAAUGCGUUGAUAUCCAGAGGAACUCCGGUGGCGAAGGCGGCUCGCUGGACCCCCACUGACGCUGAGGCGCGAAAGCCAGGGGAGCGAACGGG